rnacentral:rRNA from 1 species
UACGGGAGGCAGCAGGGGGGAAUAUUGCACAAUGGGCGCAAGCCUGAUGCAGCCAUGCCGCGUGUAUGAAGAAGGCCUUCGGGUUGUAAAGUACUUUCAGUCGUGAGGAAGGUGUUAAGGUUAAUAACCUUAGCAAUUGACGUUAGCGACAGAAGAAGCACCGGCUAACUCCGUGCCAGCAGCCGCGGUAAUACGGAGGGUGCGAGCGUUAAUCGGAAUUACUGGGCGUAAAGGGCACGCAGGCGGUUAAUUAAGUUGGAUGUGAAAUCCCCGGGCUUAACCUGGGAAUGGCAUUCAAGCUGGUUAGCUAGAGUCUUGUAGAGGGGGUAGAAUUCCAUGUGUAGCGGUGAAAUGCGUAGAGAUGUGGAGGAAUACCGGUGGCGAAGGCGGCCCCUGGACAAAGACUGACGCUCAUGUGCGAAAGCGUGGGGAGCAAACAGGGAUUAGAUACC